rnacentral:rRNA from 1 species
UACGAAGGGGCUAGCGUUGCUCGGAAUUACUGGGCGUAAAGCGCACGUAGGCGGCUUUCUAAGUCGGGGGUGAAAUCCUGGAGCUCAACUCCAGAACUGCCUCGAUACUGGAGAGCUCGAGUCCGGGAGAGGUGAGUGGAACUGCGAGUGUAGAGGUGAAAUUCGUAGAUAUUCGCAAGAACACCAGUGGCGAAGGCGGCUCACUGGCCCGGUACUGACGCUGAGGUGCGAAAGCGUGGGGAGCAAACAGG